ACACCAUUGUAAGUGCUCUAACCCUAACCCUAACCCUAACCCUUUCGAUUUCCCCUCAUCUUAGACUACCUCGGUUCGAUCCUCUGUCCUCUCAGCCGGGACCUGUUCAUCGUUCCUCCUCUUCCACUCAGUUGUUCCGGGAUACCGACGCGUUUAAUCCAUUCGUCUUUCUGCAGAACUACCCCAAGACCCUCCGUGCCGGCGGUGCUAGUAUUCUAUUCGUCAUUGAGAACAACUCCGGCGGUGGACGGUUGGACCCCAGUGGAUUCGGUGCUGGUGCUGCUGUCCGACUUGGCAGUCCAGCAUUGUAAUUCGGACAAUGAGUCAUGACGAUAAAAGAAGCAAUGAUUUUGGCCAUCUUGCUCUCACUUUUCAGGGACUGAUGGUGGUUUGCAUCUGCAACGAAAGUUCAGUUUAGUUUGCAUGGUUCUUUUCUUUGGGAAGUAGUAGUACAUUGGGACUUUAUGGUGCAGUUAGAAGACCUUGUGGAAAUAGACAAGUCAGCGUUUCUCCAAGUACAGAUUAAAUUUGACACAAAAAGAAACAGGAGGAGUUAAGCAGCAUAUAUAGUGUUUUUUUUUUUUGAGGUUACUGCAAUGGAAAUGAGAUUCACUCAUUGAAGGAUUGGUGUGAUCUUGAGUUCAAGUAGAGUUGGUUUGAGUUUUGAGAGUGAUGAUACUUGGGUUCAAUGGGAUUAUAUUCACACCUAACUUUCGUGAAUUGAUAAUGGUGGAAUUGACUGAAGGUGACUACUAUAUAUAAAUAAAAAAGAACAAUGGUUGGUAUUUGCUCGAAA